rnacentral:rRNA from 1 species
GGCUCGCAGGCGGUUUCUUAAGUCUGAUGUGAAAGCCCCCGGCUCAACCGGGGAGGGUCAUUGGAAACUGGGAAACUUGAGUGCAGAAGAGGAGAGUGGAAUUCCACGUGUAGCGGUGAAAUGCGUAGAGAUGUGGAGGAACACCAGUGGCGAAGGCGACUCUCUGGUCUGUAACUGACGCUGAGGAGCGAAAGCGUGGGGAGCGAACAGGAUUAGAUACCCUGGUAGUCCACGCCGUAAACGAUGAGUGCUAAGUGUUAGGGGGUUUCCGCCCCUUAGUGCUGCAGCUAACGCAUUAAGCACUCCGCCUGGGGAGUACGGUCGCAAGACUGAAACUCAAAGGAAUUGACGGGGGCCCGCACAAGCGGUGGAGCAUGUGGUUUAAUUCGAAGCAACGCGAAGAACCUUACCAGGUCUUGACAUCCUCUGACAACCCUAGAGAUAGGGCUUUCCCUUCGGGGACAGAGUGACAGGUGGUGCAUGGUUGUCGUCAGCUCGUGUCGUGAGAUGUUGGGUUAAGUCCCGCAACGAGCGCAACCCUUGAUCUUAGUUGCCAGCAUUCAGUUGGGCACUCUAAGGUGACUGCCGGUGACAAACCGGAGG